UGGGGAAUAUUGGACAAUGGGCGCAAGCCUGAUCCAGCCAUGCCGCGUGAGUGAUGAAGGCCCUAGGGUUGUAAAGCUCUUUCACCGGUGAAGAUAAUGACGGUAACCGGAGAAGAAGCCCCGGCUAACUUCGUGCCAGCAGCCGCGGUAAUACGAAGGGGGCUAGCGUUGUUCGGAUUUACUGGGCGUAAAGCGCACGUAGGCGGACUUUUAAGGCAGGGGUGAAAUCCCGGGGCUCAACCCCGGAACUGCCUUUGAUACUGGAAGUCUUGAGUAUGGUAGAGGUAAGUGGAAUUCCGAGUGUAGAGGUGAAAUUCGUAGAUAUUCGGAGGAACACCAGUGGCGAAGGCGGCUCACUGGACCAUUACUGACGCUGAGGUGCGAAAGCGUGGGGAGCAAACAGG
rnacentral:rRNA from 1 species